rnacentral:lncRNA from 1 species
CACCACUCUUUGUAUUGGAAUCAAAUAAUAAUCAUAUCGUUCUAUUAUUAUGACUUUGGUUGAGAGAUUUAUCAUAUUCCUAGUAUUAUAAAAAUGAAAUAAAAACAUAAUACACUCUCUUGAAGCACUAUUACGAAGGAGGCAUGAGCUAUUCAUAAAGAAAUCUGAGGAAAUAAAAAGGGACAAGUGUCUGAAACCUCAAAAAGAUAGAUCACGAGGAAAUAAAAAGGGGCAAGUGUCCGGAACCUCAAUUUGUAAAAAAAAAAGAGAAAAGAAAGAGAGCUCAUGGUCCCUCCUACAUAAUAUGCUAUGGAAGUGGAUGAUUUGUGUGAUCCAAGAAUAUGAUAUUUCUCUCUCUAGUUAUGAACAUCAAAUUAAAAUCACAACCAUUGAUGCAACU